UGCUGAAACAUAGAGAAUUGUUUCUUGACUGCUGAGAGUCGACGAGUCUCUAGCUUUUGCAAAGCCCAUACCAUGUACAUAAACAUACCAGUUGACUCAAGCUUAUAUGCUAUUUAAAUCAUGUAAAUUUGAGUCUGGUUUUUAACCUACCGUUUGGUGACCAACCUUGUACGGCUUUUCAUGGGGAAAUUGUUUUUCUUUAUUAUUUUUUUUUUUCACAUUUUACGAAUAUCACUGAGUAAAUAUGAAAUUAUGCUCUACAUAUGACUGUUUGAUGCGAGACACAGAGAGAGUUUAAUGGUUCGGGGUUGAACCAACUUGUUUCUAAGCCAAGACUGAUCUUCUAUUGCAGCAAUUCAAAUAGUGCGGCAUUUAAGGAAAAUGCGAAGAUACAAUUUGUCCCAUAACAAUUUCUUGAGCCCGUACAUUUCUUGGCGGAGAAGGGUAGCGAGUUUAGGAAGUUUUCAAAGACUUGCCAUUUUCGAGAAGUGGAAAAAAGUGAAAUGGUUUUAGAUUAUAAUCAAGAAGUAAAAUGUGACCAACCAAAUUCAAAUUCAGCCAUAAAUAACAGAUCUAAAAUUCUUACGCUCACAAAUACUCUGCUGUUUAUGCUAUGCUAUACAUAAUGUCGAACAAAAAUGAAGAAGAAAAUAGCAAGCAUUGAUGAUCUCAUGACUAAACAGAAAAUUCCACUGCUAAUCAAACUGUUAUUGGGAAAAAGAUAAGAGGAAAAGGAAAGUUAAGAGACUGAUCAUCUCUUACUCCAAUAACCUAUAUCAUUGUUGAUGAUCCUUAACAUGUUUAAUGAAUUCCAUGUACUACUGCUGUUUCCUCUAAUGUAGCAAACAAAUAUAAAUAAUGAACCUAUGCUUCAGGUUUUUUAAUAACUAUCAUUUUAAUCAGGUUUGUCUUGUUCUUGAAGUUUUUCAAUUUAAUUAGUUAUUUGUCUUUUUAUCAAGAAAAGAAACAAUUAUGGUUGGCAGUUCAGUUAUAUAUUUUGCACGCGACCUAUGCUAAUUUUUUACAUUUAAAACUCUACUCAUAAAAAUUGUAUAGGAAAUUGCAAAUUAUUGAUACCCAUUUCAACGAGGUGUAAUGAUGAACAUUUCAUUUGCCUAGACUAUAAACCAUGGAUAUCCAUUACUUCUAGAAAACUGAUUACAAAAACUCAGGUUAUGAUCAGGCCUGAGCAAGCAUUCCUGCAUUUUCUUGAAACUUAAAAGGCCAUUUUUAUUAGUAGACCUGUGAAUUCUUCUACACAUUCUUUAUGCACCCUACUUUAGACUGACCUCCAAAGCUUUAAUGUUUAUUCUUGUGAACAUAAAUCAUCAACUACGCAGUCAAUGCAGAAGUUCAUCUUUUGUAAUGUAAUUGAAAUAAAAUAAAUAAAUAAUAGUCAGCUCAAAAUAGUUGAAUUAUCUUACCAUUAAAAUUUGCUGUUCAUAACAGAAAGGAUGCCUGAGAAAAUGUGCUGAAGCAAGAAGAUUAUUUGUCUUUACUGGAAAUAUUCCAUACACCUGUUACCUGUCUCCUCCUUUCCUCCUGCUUUCUUUCCUUUUUUUGGUAAAGCUGUCAGUCAAUCCACCUUUCCCUAGUAAGUUCAUCACUGUUUCAGUAAAAAUUUGAUUAUUAAAAUUGAGCUACUCAUUUAUGCUACAGAGGAAAAGGCAAACCAUAAAUAUCCUGUAAUAUGAAAUGCAAUAUAAAUAGAGUGCAUGAGAUGCUCUAAGUUUCAUUUAUAUCGUGCUGGAUGGAUUACGUUUUGCAUUUCAUAGUAAUGAAAUGAUCAUUCAGAUUACGCUGACAUGUUUGGUUUCUAUUCUUCUGUUUGAGGUUUAAGUUUCCCAUCUUUACUUGGUACAGAAAUGUUCUCCUGGACCUGUAUUCAUGGUUGAUGUUUAGCUUCCAAUGCACUUUUGAUAUCUUCAUUUACUAUUUUCCGUAGUUCAUGAUGUUAUAAUCAAAUAUUAUUUGCUUAUUUUAUUGUAGUAUUCUCUGCAGUUAGCAGCUAAAAUUCUUUAACUGCUGUAACAGUUCGAAGAUAUAAUUUGGGAUGAAUAUUACCAGAGUGAUGAUCAUAUAGUGCCUCAUCCUGGUGACAAACGGGCCAAAGAAAUUUCCUUUCAGGGUGAUAGUUGCAAGAAACCUCGCUGUGAAGUAACUGGUAUUUCAAGAAGUUAUGCAGAUAAAUCUGCUGCUAAACGUGUAGGUCAGGAGAAAGAACAAAGAGAUCUUUCAACUUCUAUUAAUAGAAAGAACCCCAUGUUUGAGAAGGAUUCAUCGUCUCGCCCACCCCACGAUGCAUCCCUCUCUCCAAUUGUUCGUGAUUCAAUCAAAGAAGAUUCGAGUUCAGCAUCUGACAAUACCAGAAUAUCAAGUCAUGGCUUCAACAACAAUAAUUUAGAUUCCAAUGGUAGUGAAGUUUGUGCAAAUGAUACCACACUCAAUGACAAGUGCACUGCUGUUGAGAGCAACUCUUUUAGUUAUCCACUCGGUGACAUUUCUCAAACAGUCGAUGAUCUGAAUUUCUUUGACAAAAAUCCUGAAGACGAGGAUUCUAGCGAUAUCUUACAUUAUGAUUGGCCUGAAAUAGGAAAUUUUGAGGAUGUCGACAGGAUGUUUAGGUAAUUUCUUACCUCGAGUUCAGAUUAAAUACGUUUUCAUUCUUAUUGCAUGUUUCUCAUUAUUACAUUGCAUUCUCCAGAAGUUGCGAUUCAACAUUUGGACUUGGGGAGGAUAAAGAAGAUGAAUUGGGUUGGUUUUCAUCAGAGGAUGCUAUAGGAGGAUCCGGUGAUAUUCUGAAGUCAGAUUUUAAGUUUUUCUGUCCCGAGUCCAAGGCAAUGGAAAAUAUUUCAGAAAACCAUGACACCUCGAUGGUAAAUGGAAGCUAUUCUACUAAUGAUAUUACCAGGACAACUGCAUCCAUUUGGUACUCAGAGAGAGAUGAAUCUGCUUCUCAUGUGUCCAUUGCGAAUGGAUCCACUGGAUCUGACAGAAAAGAAGAUGUCAUGCCCAUAGAAAAGGUAGGUCUGUGACUGCUACUAGAAUUUGGUUCUAUUCUUUUUUCCUUUCCAGAUAUAUCUGUUUGAAACCAUGAUUGACCAAUACGAGGCAAUUUUUUUGCAGGGAAUGGGACAGAAUGGUAAAAUGCAACCCAAGAUUUCAACUAACAGUUACAAAACUGGAAACAAAGAAAUGGUAAUGCACAAAUUCAAUAAAUUAGUGUUUUUAGGGCAAAUUAUUUUCCUUGAAUGUUCUUAUUUUCAAUAUUUGCUAGAGUAUAUGUAGAGAGAGAAAUACAUCAUUUUUUAAUAGAAGGAUUUUUUUAACCGAGUAGAAUUCAGAUAAUAUUAGUGGCUGGGUAUACUGAAUCUUUAUUUGGUCUGUAAAAUUUCUUUAUGUGACACUAUUGAAAUUUGAAAGACGGUCUACUGAACCAGUUUGACAAUACAAUAAUUCAAGUUUAAUAAACGUUGCAGGUUAAUGAGCAUAAAAAGCAGUCAAAGCAACAGAACCAUUCUCAGAGGAAAAGAAAAGAACAAUGCACUGGAAAUGGUUGUUUUAAUUAUGCUGGCAACCUGCCGAAUGAAGUUAGGCAUCUUCCUUCUGGGGACAUAUCUCAUGAAACUUUCCAAUAUAAGGCUAUUCAAUGUCAACCGAAGUCUCCGGUUCCAGAUUCUUGUGAUUACCUACAGAAUGCUUUUCCUUACGUGCAUUUAGAUAGCAGACAUUUACCAGAUAAAACUUCGGUACAUACAACUCAAUCUGCUGUCAGAUCUGAGAAUGAUGACUUGGCAUUCCUUUCACCGAGGGAGCCAUUGUAUGCCUCCAGUCAAGUGCAUUUCUUGGAAAAUUCUGGUGAUCCUCCAUUUCAGGUGGCUACUAUAGCGGGCAGUGAAAAAAGAGAGAAGCUAGUCAAUCAUAAAGGUAGUCAGUCUUCCAUACUUGAUCCCAUUUCACUGGAAAAGAAAGUUCACCGUUUUGGAGAUAAAUUUGAAAAUCAAAGUGAUGUUGAUGUAGUCGGCAUAGUGAUUCCAGCAGAAUUAUGCUCAUCAAAUAUACAAGAGAGCUCAUCCAUGAACUCAGCUUUGGAAGAUAUUUCAAUUGAAGCAGCUAGUUUACAACAGCUUCAGCUUGUCAUGGAACAGGUAUGAUGGACUUCCAAAAAUUUAUAAUUUGCUUUGAUAUUUAAUACGCUAAAAUGUAAUUUCGAUGUUGUAACCCGCUCCCAGGAGGUUUGACCUACGCAUUUCAUUGUGUUCUAUCAUUGGUGGGAGAGAAUUUUUAUAAUUGUGGAGCACGUAGAAAUGAAAUGGAACAAUAAUUGGUAGUGAGAUUCUGACAUAAAGGUUUGAUUAUUAGAAUGCUAUAGUCGGAGAUGAUGCGCGGAGUGAUAAGAGUCUUAUAUUACAUCCAUUUUGUUUUGACACUAGAUUAGUGCUAAGAUCCUGUAGACAAUGCCCUGUACUAAAACUUUAAUCCUGUGUAUCUGUGAGCAUAUGUUCAGCAAAUUUAGUGAGCAUGCCGCCAGACACAGGUUGGAGGACUUUCUGCUACUCCCUGAAUAUACGUGUGACUGCCACCUUGAUAUGUGUGUGUCUGUACGUUUUGCAUCUGAUACGUUUUUGUUAUUAAAGGAAAAUGGAGUGUGUUCAUGUCUUACAUGUCAUGAUGUCAAUUUUACAGUGUUUAAAUUAUGUUACGAAUUCUUCUGCCUUGAAACUGACGAUGGUUAAUGUUUUCUUGGUUUAGUUGGACAUGAAAACAAAAUUAUGCAUCAGGGACAGUUUAUAUCGUUUGGCUAUGAAUGCUGAGCAAAGACAUACCCAUGCAAGCCCCAAUGGUGGCUGCAAAGAUGAGAGAGAAGCCAGUGGAGCAUUCAUGGCAGAAGGAUCAAACAAGUAAGUCAAAUCUGUGAUUUCUGUAUCGUUAGUCUCAUCUUUAGUUGCAAAUAAUGACACCCUCUGAUACUCUCAUGAUUUUUCAUUAGGUGCACUGGAUUUAUAGAUAUGGAAACCGACACAAAUCCUAUAGAUCGCUCCAUCGCUCACUUACUGUUUCACAGGCCUUCAGAUUCGGCUUCCAUACCUGUCAAUGACUCAUUUGCAUUCAGGUCACCAAGCAUGGUAAUUUUUCAUUUCAUGUUUAGUUACAACAUGCAUAUGUUGUCCCAACAGUUUCUUGAUGACAACUUAUGGUGCGUUCAGUAAUGAGGAUUGAAAAGUAGUAGAUGGUAAAAUGUAAGAAAUAGAUGCUAAAAUUCUAUUAUGAACAGGUUCAUGGACCCAUCACCAGCAUGUCUGCAAUGGAUGAGAAAUCUAUCAAUAAUGAAGAAACUGCUGCUGCUGAAACAUAGAGAAUUGUUUCUUGACUGCUGAGAGUCGACGAGUCUCUAGCUUUUGCAAAGCCCAUACCAUGUACAUAAACAUACCAGUUGACUCAAGCUUAUAUGCUAUUUAAAUCAUGUAAAUUUGAGUCUGGUUUUUAACCUACUGUUUGGUGACCAACCUUGUACGGCUUUUCAUGGGGAAAUUGUUUUUCUUUAUUUUAUUUUAUUUUUUCACAUUUUACGAAUAUCACUGAGUAAAUAUGAAAUUAUGCUCUACAUAUGACUGUUUGAUGCGAAACACAGAGAGAGUUUAAUGGUUCGGGGUUGAACCAACUUGUUUCUAAGCCAAGACUGAUCUUCUAUUGCAGCAAUUCA
rnacentral:lncRNA from 1 species